UUGUCAUAGAUUUACCAAUUUACACUACUUUCUAUCUAAUCUAGUCUGUUAUGGAACUCAAGUAACAUCUCAGAUUGAUAGUUGAUUACAGAAUUCUUUGGAAGUGGUGAUUCCAUCUUUAUCAAUCCACCAAUUCAUCAUUUUUGGAAUAAAAGAUUUGAACAUAGAAAAUAUUGACUUCCUUACAGUUCGAUAUGAUUUGCAGAGUAUUGAUUAUAAGUUCUAUAAUCUUCUCAUUGUCACAUGGAACACCUCUCCGGAAUAAUGAGUCUUCAAUUACUUCAAAAAGAGAUGUGUCAAAUAAUGAACAUUGUCCAGAUUAUUCAAUGGAGAAAGAACGAGUAUGCAUUGAAUGCAAGGCAACAUUAGGAGAAUAUACUUACAGACAUUGCACGAAGAACUGUUACUCAGCAUACAUCUAUAAAGUAUGUCUGAGUCAUUAUCGCAAAAGGCCGCCGGUUUAUGAAUGAGUCACAGUGCACUGGUAAUUACGUUUUAUUUUGGUCAAUUUGCUUUCUUACAGAAUACUUAAAGCUGUCACAGCCACAUGUAUGUGAAGUAGACACUUCUACUUAAGAGGAGAACAAUAAUAUUUUUUGGUAGAUUAAUGUAACAUUAUCUAUUAAAAUAUAUAACAAUUGUUUUUGCUGCUUA
rnacentral:lncRNA from 1 species